rnacentral:rRNA from 1 species
UACAGAGGGUGCAAGCGUUAUUCGGAAUCACUGGGCGUAAAGCGCAUGUAGGCGGCUUGGUAAGUCGGAUGUGAAAUCCCUCGACUCAAUCGAGGAAGUGCAUUGGAAACUGCCAGGCUAGAGUGCAGGAGGGGAGAACGGAAUUCCUGGUGUAGAGGUGAAAUUCGUAGAUAUCAGGAGGAACAACGGUGGCGAAGGCGGUUCUCUGGACUGUAACUGACGCUGAGGGUGCGAAAGCGUGGGGAGCAAACAGG